rnacentral:rRNA from 1 species
AGAGUUUGAUCAUGGCUCAGGAUGAACGCUAGCUACAGGCUUAACACAUGCAAGUCGAGGGGAAACGACAUCGAAAGCUUGCUUUUGAUGGGCGUCGACCGGCGCACGGGUGAGUAACGCGUAUCCAACCUGCCCACCACUUGGGGAUAACCUUGCGAAAGUAAGACUAAUACCCAAUGACGUCUCUAGAAGACAUCUGAGGGAGAUUAAAGAUUUAUCGGUGAUGGAUGGGGAUGCGUCUGAUUAGCUUGUUGGCGGGUAACGCCACAAGGCGACGAUCAGUAGGGUUCUGAGAGGAAGGUCCCCANAUUGGAACUGAGACACGGUCCAAACUCCUACGGGAGCA